CUGAUCUCAUACUUUUGACCUCGUGAUCCACCUGCCUCGGACUCCCAAAGUGCUGAGCCACUACGCUUGGCCUGCAAUUGUGGAACUUUUAUUAUGUCCCAGGUGGAAAAACAGAGCAACCCUCUAAGCACUUCUCUGAUUAUAUCACGAGCCCAUUCACAUGGCUUACUUUUGCUCCUGGGGAAAUGCUGCAGUCCUUCAUCAGAGCUGUAAAUGGCACUUGUGACAAAAAUCAAAGUAACUAAAAAAGAAUCUGGUUGGAACCUCAGUAACAACUGGCCUGUCUACUGCCUCACACUAACAAGGGGGAGCUAAUAAAACCCAGGCCAGAGCACACAAUGUGGAAAUGAAAACUUUAUUCUUGUCAAUGGAUGGAGGGUGGAAAACUCCUAUAUGAACUCUACAACUGAAUUUUUUGUUUCAAUAGCAUAUCUCAUAAAUAAUGGUUCCAAAGAAAUAUUUUAAAUAGCAGAUCUAAUCAGGCGCUGUUAGAAGGCACCAGGAAGACAAAGUUCCUGCCAUCGACAUUUACAUACUAGAGGAGGAAGUAGGAAAUAAACAGUGACCCCACCUUUACAAUUGCCUGUGAUUCUCAUUAGCAGUGUAUUAGAGGGCAAAAGAUUUGAACAGACACUUCAGACAAGAAGAUAUACAAAUGGCCACUAAGCACUUGAAAGGAUUCUGAACAUCAUUAGUCAUCAGUGAAAUGCAAAUUAAAGCCAUAAUGAAUGGCGCUAUGCAUUUUCAGAAUGGCUAGGAUUAAAGACUGAAAAAAAUCAAG